rnacentral:lncRNA from 1 species
CUGUAACACUCACCGCGAGGAUCCGCGGCUUCAUUCUUGAAGUCAGUGAGACCAAGAACCCACCAAUUCCAGAGACACUACUGUGUGGGUUUCUGUGGACAGCAGUUCUGCCAAACUGUUUUCCAGUGUGGCUGUACCAUUUUGCAUUCCCGCCAGCAAUGAAACGAAGUUUCUAAUGCUUCACCUUGUCACCAGUAUUUGAUAUUAUCAGUGUCCUGGCUACUCAAAUAGAAAUCCUUCAGAGCACAGGCUGAUUGAAUAGAAAGAGGAUGGGAGAGCAGUCUGCCCUUGAUCUGUCUGAGACAUCACUUGUCUCCUCUUUCUUGAAGGUUCAGCUACUUCAGUGUAAUGUGGUGGAAAGGAGAGAAGAGAAAAAGGAUGAAAAUGUGUUGC